rnacentral:rRNA from 1 species
CCUACGGGAGGCAGCAGCCCGGAAUAUUGGACAAUGGGCGCAAGCCUGAUCCAGCAAUACCGCGUGUGUGAAGAAGGCCUUCGGGUUGUAAAGCACUUUAAGCAGGGAAGAAAAAACUCAAACUAAUAUUUUGAGUCUUGACGGUACCUGAAGAAUAAGCACCGGCUAACUCUGUGCCAGCAGCCGCGGUAAU